AAGUCGUAACAAGGUUUCCGUAGGUGAACCUGCGGAAGGAUCAUUAACACGUAUCCAACGUUAAACAACCCUGUGAACUUUCAACCGGAACAGCAAUCCCGGUAAAUCAAUUGGAGAAAAGGUUUUGAUUCGGGACCUCUGUCCAUCAGGCUACAAUCGAGCUAGGAGCAGUGGCAUGGUUUCCCUAAGCAGUGCAGAAGGAUCCACUGAGUAAGGAUAACGCCUCACGGUUGCCAGAGGUCGAUCACCGGCCGGCAGACAUGUCACAGGGCUAUAUGCCCCCUCAUUCACACCUUGCCCUAUCUGGCCCCACGGAAACGUUGGGGCACAAACCGAACAACUGUUAACAAUGGAUAUCUUGGUUCUC
rnacentral:misc_RNA from 1 species